rnacentral:rRNA from 1 species
AGCCUACUGGUUAUUUUAUAGUAGGUAACUCCUGCCCAGUGAGACAUUUAACGGCCGCGGUACCCUGACCGUGCAAAGGUAGCAUAAUCACUUGCCUUUUAAUUAAAGGCUAGUAUGAAUGGACAAACGAAAGUCUUUCUGUCUCUCUCAUGCUCAUAAAAAUUUACCUUCAGGUGAAGAGGCCUGAAUUUAUAUAAAAGACAAGAAGACCCUGUCGAGCUUUAAUCUUAAUAAACUAAAAACUCUAAAAAUGUUUAUCCUUAAUAACGAUUUUUGCUGGGGCGGCAAAGGAAUAAACCUAACUUCCUGUAAAAAUAAGAAAAUAAUUCCCUCUAAUGACCCAUACUAUGAUCAACAAAAACAGCUACCGCAGGGAUAACAGACUAAUUUUCCUCAAGAGCCCAAAUCUACAGGAAAGUUUGGCACCUCGAUGUUGGCUUAGGGAAUCUUUUAGAUGCAGCAGUCUAAUAAGAGGGUUUGUUCAACCCUUAAAUCCCU